rnacentral:rRNA from 1 species
GACGAACCGUGCGAACGUUAUUCGGAAUCACUGGGCUUAAAGCGCGUGUAGGCGGGCCGCCACGUCGGCUGCUGAAAUCCCCCGGCUCAACCGGGGAACGGGCACCGAUACGAGCGGCCUCGAGGGGGGUAGGGGGGUCUGGAACUUCCGGUGGAGCGGUGAAAUGCGUUGAGAUCGGAAGGAACGCCCGUGGCGAAAGCGAGGCCCUGGACCCUUACUGACGCUGAGGCGCGAAAGCUAGGGGAGCAAACGGG